CCUACGGGAGGCAGCAGUGGGGGAUAUUGCACAAUGGGGGGAACCCUGAUGCAGCGACGCCGCGUGGGUGAAGAAGUACCUCGGUGUGUAAAGCCCUGUCAGCAGGGAAGAAAAUGACGGUACCUGACGAAGAAGCCCCGGCUAACUACGUGCCAGCAGCCGCGGUAAUACGUAGGGGGCAAGCGUUAUCCGGAUUUACUGGGUGUAAAGGGAGCGCAGACGGCUGUGCAAGUCUGGAGUGAAAGGCGGGGGCCCAACCCCCGGACUGCUCUUGAAACUGUGGAGCUGGAGUGCAGGAGAGGGAAGCGGAAUUCCUGGUGUAGCGGUGAAAUGCGUAGAUAUCAGGAGGAACACCAGUGGCGAAGGCGGCUUACUGGACAGCAACUGACGUUGAGGCUCGAAAGCGUGGGGAGCAAACAGGAUUAGAUACCCGAGUAGUC
rnacentral:rRNA from 1 species